rnacentral:sRNA from 1 species
UAUGUACUAUUUUAACAAAAUAUCAUGC